GGGGAAUUUUGGACGAUGGGCGCAAGCCUGAUCCAGCCAUGCCGCGUGAGUGAAGAAGGCCUUCGGGUUAUAAAGCUCUUUCGGCGGGGAAGAAAUGGCACGCUCUAACAUAGCGUGUUGAUGACGGUACCCGCAUGAGAAGCACCGGCUAACUACGUGCCAGCAGCCGCGGUAAUACGUAGGGUGCGAGCGUUAAUCGGAAUUACUGGGCGUAAAGCGUGCGCAGGCGGUUUCGUAAGACAGAGGUGAAAUCCCCGGGCUCAACCUGGGAAUGGCCUUUGUGACUGCGAGGCUAGAGUGUGACAGAGGGGGGUAGAAUUCCACGUGUAGCAGUGAAAUGCGUAGAGAUGUGGAGGAAUACCGAUGGCGAAGGCAGCCCCCUGGGUUACUACUGACGCUCAUGCACGAAAGCGUGGGGAGCAAAC
rnacentral:rRNA from 1 species